rnacentral:rRNA from 1 species
UGGGGAAUAUUGCGCAAUGGGCGAAAGCCUGACGCAGCGACGCCGCGUGAGGGAUGAAGGUUUUCGGAUCGUAAACCUCUGUCAGAAGGGAAGAAACCGCACUGUGCUAAUCAGCAGUGCCUUGACGGUACCUUCAAAGGAAGCACCGGCUAACUCCGUGCCAGCAGCCGCGGUAAUACGGAGGGUGCAAGCGUUAAUCGGAAUUACUGGGCGUAAAGCGCACGUAGGCUGCUUUGUAAGUCAGGGGUGAAAUCCCACGGCUCAACCGUGGAACUGCCUGUGAUACUGCUUAGCUUGAAGCCGGGAGAGGGUGGCGGAAUUCCAGGUGUAGGAGUGAAAUCCGUAGAUAUCUGGAGGAACAUCAGUGGCGAAGGCGGCCACCUGGACCGGUAUUGACGCUGAGGUGCGAAAGCGUGGGGAGCAAACAGG